rnacentral:tRNA from 1 species
GGGGGGAUAGCUCAGUGGUAGAGCGCUUGCCUACCAUACAGGAAGCUCUGAGUUUAAAACCCAGCCCCACCC